UAAUAUGACAUGACCAUGCCCACUAUCCCGCAGUGGAACAGAGACAACUGUCAGCGGUGAGCCAGGUAAGUGAGUAAAGUGCUCAAUAAUGAUUGAAUUUAGGAUAAAAUGGGGAAUUUCUGUUCAUCUGAAAGGUCUGUAAGUAACAUUACAGCAUGAGAGUUUGUGGGUCUUACAUGCUGCAUAAUUGGCAAGGUUGAUGCUUACGUUAGCUUCUGCUAAAUUAAUGUCGUUAGACUACUCACAGACAGCAUUAAGGUAUAUAUCACUAAACUAAAUUUAGCAUUGCUCAAUAGCUGCUUUAGGUAGUAUAAUUGACCAGGGUAGUGUGUUUUUAGCAAAUCCAGUGCACUAAUGUUUUAUCCAAAAAAGGUCGUUGAGCACAUGUGUUUUACUCCAAACUGAGUCAUGAAAAUGGACUUUUUUACCUGAUGUUCUGUUAGUAAAAUGUGUGUUUUAUCGAGGAUUGACGUUUGUGGAUGUUUCACCUGUUCAGUUAGAAAGCAGGUGUGGUUUACUCUGAAUUGAGACACAUACACGACUGUUUUCGCCUGAUCUUUGGUUAGGAGCAUGUGUGUUUAAUGGAGUGAAUCUUGUAUGUGUACUACUGUUAGUUUAGCAAGCACGUGUGUUUUACUCGAAUUGAAAAGUAUACAUGGUUGCAGUGUGCACAAGUGUGCAGUUUUAGAUGUUUCUUUUAAGCCCUAUGUGUUUUGUGUGUGCCUCUGUUUUGUUCAAUUUUGUAAGUAUUUGUAGUAAAUCUAAUUAUUUAAAAAUAUCCUUUUCAUAUCAUGAAGGAUGCAAGCUGUGCCUGUGAAGUGCAGAGAACAACAGAAGUACAUCAGUUUUGAGGGCCAGCUGACCUACAGAUCAUUUUUGGAAUGCGUUGCCAAGAAGUUCAACAUCCCAAACAUAUGGCUUCUCUAAGAUACUUGAUCCAAUUGUGAAGAAUAUGAAAAUCCUGGAGAGGGAUGGAAUUACGAUUGCCUUGCAUGAUGACCCAGUACAUGGAACUAUUGUCCAAGUUACUACUGACAACCUUGAUCUUCACUGUCUGUUUGGUUUUCUAGAGUCAUUUAGUGCCAGAUAUUGUUGCCACUUUUGUCUUGCUGAAAAAGAGGACUUUCAGAAAGAGUUUACAGAGGAUUCACCCAAGAUAAUCAUGCGAACUCAAGCACUUCAUACUGAACAUUGCCAAAAAAUGGAGGCAAAUCCCAGACUGCCUUAUGUGAUGGGUGUUAAACAGUCUUGGAUUCUAAACUCAUUGCAGUACUUCAAUACAUGUGAAAA